rnacentral:rRNA from 1 species
GACGUAGGUGGCAAGCGUUGUCCGGAAUUACUGGGCGUAAAGGGCGUGUAGGCGGCCUGCUAAGUCAGACGUGAAAUCCUUGGGCUUAACCUAGGGACUGCGUUUGAUACUGGUGGGCUUGAGGACGGGAGAGGAAAGUGGAACUCCGUGUGUAGCGGUGAAAUGCGUAGAUAUACGGAAGAACACCAGUGGCGAAGGCGACUUCUGGACCGUCCCUGACGCUGAGGCGCGAAAGCCAGGGGAGCGGAACGGGAUUAAGCAAACCCGUU